rnacentral:rRNA from 1 species
CGAGGUUUGAGUCGCUCAUCCUGCGUCGUAUUGCCAUACAACUAAUGCUCUGGAUUAAAUUUAAUAUGUAAGGCAACAAUAAUGAUGAAACCUUACUAUUAGUGUCGUCCAAAACUGGUGCCAGAAGACUCGGUAAGGCCAGAGACGCAAACGUUAGUCGUCAUUAUCAGGCGUAAAGGGUUCGUAGGCAGCUUUGAAAUUUCUUUCUUUAUAAGUAGCACUCUAAUUUAGAGUUAAGGAAAGAAGCAAUUAAAGCUAGAAUCAUAAAGAGGUCAUAUUAUAUAAUUUCAAGAUAAGGGGUUAAAUCUGAAAACACUUGAAGGAAUUUUAAAGGGCGAAGGCUUAUUUUCCAUAAAUGAUUGACGCUGAGGAACGAAAGGGAGGAGCGGAACCAGGAUUAGAUACCCAUUUACCCCUCUCUGCUAACGAUGAAUGGUAGUUAACCUGUUAUAUAAAAUAGGAAGCAAAGCUAACGCGAUAACCAUUCCGCCAUGCGAGUACGACUGCAAAGUUGAAAGCAAAAAAAUUAGUCGGUUUCGAAGCAAACGAAGUGAAGCAUGUUAUUUAAUUCGAUAAUUCCGC